rnacentral:rRNA from 1 species
AACGAACGCUGGCGGCAUGCCUAACACAUGCAAGUCGAACGAGACCUUCGGGUCUAGUGGCGCACGGGUGCGCAACGCGUGGGAACCUGCCCUUAGGUUCGGAAUAACUCCCCGAAAGGGGUGCUAAUACCGGAUAAUGUCUUCGGACCAAAGAUUUAUCGCCCUUGGAUGGGCCUGCGUUGGAUUAGCUAGUUGGUAGGGUAAAAGCCUACCACGGCGACGUUCCAUAGCUGGUCUGAGAGGAAGGGCAGCCACACUGGGACUAGGACACGGCCCAGACUCUUGCGCGAGGCAGCAGAGGGGAAUACUGGACAAUGGGCGAAAGGCUGAUCCAGCAAGGCCGCGUGAGUGAUGAAGGCCUUAGGGUUGUAAAGCUCUUUUACCCGGGAUGAUAAUGACAUUACCGGGAGAAUAAGCACCGGCUAACUCCGUG